AGUGAACGCUGGCGGCAGGCCUAACACAUGCAAGUCGAGCGGCAGCGGGUCCUUCGGGAUGCCGGCGAGCGGCGGACGGGUGAGGAAUACAUCGGAAUCUGCCCUGUCGUGGGGGAUAACCUAUGGAAACUUAGGCUAAUACCGCAUACGACCUACGGGUGAAAGCUUGGGAUCUCAAGACCUCGCGCGACAGGAUGAGCCGAUGUCCGUUUAGCUAGUUGGCGGGGUAAAGGCCCACCAAGGCGACGAUCGGUAGCUGGUCUGAGAGGAUGAUCAGCCACACUGGGACUGAGACACGGCACAGAAUCCUACGGGAGGCAGCAGAGGGGAAUAUUGGACAAUGGGCGCAAGCAUGAUACAGCAAAGCCGCGUGGGUGAAGAAGGACUUCGGGUUGUAAAGAACUUUUGUCAGGGAAGAAAACGAAUGGGAUAAUAACACGGGCGGAUGACGGUACCGGAAGAAUAAGCACCGGCUAACUUCGUG
rnacentral:rRNA from 1 species